AGAAAGAUAGAGGGCAGCACGGGACCAGAGUGCUAGCUGCCCUUCAGGAGAACAUGACUGCUUAACUUGCAGGUCUGAAGAGGUAGCCAAGACGGAGAGGGAAGUGGCGGGCAUGCCCGCAUCCUCUCCCCAACCUCUCCAGAAAGAGAUGCAGCGCCUCUUUCUCAUUGUUUAAGAAGAAAAGGGGGAACUUGGAGACGCAGCCAAUGAAGGAUAAAUGAGCGCUCUGCUAGUUCAAAGGCAACGUGCAGAUUGGACAGAGGAAGCGUGCAGAGCUCAGAAGAACAGGAGAAAACCCAGUGCACAGAUAAGCAAACAAACAUAAAAAUCCACGCUGAACGGGGCAGUACUCCCAAGAAGCAGAAUAUGAAGGCCUGAGAGGAAGAAGGUAGACUGAAGAAACAGGCAACGGAAUAAGGAAAUGAGAAUGUAGACUGUAGCCCUCGGUCCCGGCUUCAUAUUCAGUGUGGUACUUGAGAUGUGGCAACAAGGAAGCCGCCCUAAGUCCUCACCUUGGGGACCUCACACUUGACCUAGGGAGAUUGACAGCAAAGGAGGAGUGUGUGAAGUAUGGAGUGUGCCAGAUGGUGGUAGACACCAUCCCGGAAGAUCAAGCAAAGAGAUAGAUGGGGGUACUGGGCAGAGAAGGAGUUUCCGUUUGCAAUUCGGUCAUGAGAAAAGCCACGUUGCAAAGGUGAUCGUUGAGCAAAGCCUUGAAGAAUGAGAGGAAGUGAGCCAUGUGGAAUCUGGGGGAAGAGCAUUAUAGCAUCUGAAAGCAGAAAGUGCAAAGGCCCUACGAUGGCGCUGGGAGGGCCUUAACCAUACAAGCCCAAUGCGGAGCUUGAUUCCAUGAAUCAUGUGAUCGUGACCCGAGCUGAAAUCAAGAGUUGGAUGCUUAACUGACCAAGUCACCCAGUUGCCCCUGUGAGAAGUUCUUUUAAUCAUCUGUGUACAAUUGUAGUAAAUGUACAAAUAUGGUCUCAGGCCCCACAAAAUCUGGAUCCACCCUUGCUCUCAGCCAUCCUGUUAAUAAAAAUUAUUCAUCAUUCAAAACCAAGAUCAAAUGUCACUUCCUUUACAAAUUAUUUCCUGAAUCCCUAAUCAGGCUUGGAGACAGAGCCACCCUAUAUGUGAAGAAGUCUGGGACUUUCUGCUUUAGGACUUCGGAAGAAGAAACAUGAAGUCAAUACAUAGCGAAGGGCCAGACGGAUUGUGUCAGAAACAAACACUGAGGCGGGUGUGCUUGGCUAGCCAAUGCAUAAAAUUCAGAGGAAGUUGAAGUGUGCAUAACUAAGAUAUCACAAACAAACAUGACAUAUAUGAGCUUUGAGAAAGAAGCAUUGUACAAACAGCGUUUAUGGUUUGUGAAUUAUGGGGCUAGAUAAAUGUGAACUAAAUCGUCAGGACAACUUGGGAGAUUUCUGCCUCAUGAGAGUUCCCAAAGAUUCAUUUAUAUUUCAUUUCUCUGUGAUGUAUGGCUCCAUAAAUUUUGGGUAAAACAGAGGGAGAAAGACUUGUACCUGCAGUCUAGAAGUUCCUGCCCACCUUGAAGGGUGCUGAUUCUGCCAGUUACAGCUUGGAAGCUCUCAUAUGUUUUUGGAAGAAGAAGGUGAUUCUUGUGGAGUGGCCACCCGCAGAUUUGGAAGAAUGGGGGUUCACCUGACACCGCACCUUUUACAGUGGGGACCUCUUCAGAUGACCUUGGAUAAUAUUCAUUCUUCUCUAAAACUGGGAGUUGGCUGACAAACUACAUGAGUUACGGCAUCUUUUUAUUUGUGUGAAGUAGAGACUGGAAAUUUAUGGAACAGGAAGUGAUAAAUCAAAGAGAUGGGAAUGAAUAAGAAAUGGCUCCCUUAAACUUUUGUAUUUGUUGAUGCACCAGCAAAAAAUACACAGCCUGGAAAAGUGAAGACAGUAAAAUACUUUUGAGUUCCUUCUAGAAAUGCAUGAUAUAAAUGUGAUGCAUUAUAUUCAUUUAUGCUCCUAGAAGGCACAGUUUUGUUUUUUUGUUUUUUGUUUUUUUUUGGAGUGCUCAAAAGAAAGAAUGAUUUGAUACAUGGAGGAAAAGUGCUAAAAGAAACUUUUAAAACAUUUGCCACUGGAACAUCAUUUCAAACCUGUCAGAAAUGUGAGCAGGAAAUAGAAAACUUCUGCCUUGACAAUGUUUUGGGGAAAAUGGGCCAACUAAACAUCAUUUGAAGGCAGCGAGGAGGCAAAUGCUCAGAAACACAAUUUUAUUUCCUUUUACAAAUUCUUCCUCCAGAGUUUUUAGUCACUCACAAAACAGAUGUCAUUUUUGAAAAUGCAGAAUUGCAAAACACAAAAAAAUCAGCCUUCUUCAAGAAUGCUGUUGUGCUUUCUCCUUAUUUGCUGGUAGAAAACAUGUGUGUCUUGAAUUCCAAUUAUCUUUUCAGUUCAGUAUUUUCUUCAGAGAACAAAAACUUUCUGGUACAGCUGCAGAAGCACAAACAAAAUGGUAUCACAGAAGAGCGACUAGCACCUUGGAACCAGCUGUUUAUGCUAUUUAGUCAUCUUCUUUUUAACCCUCCGAGUCCUGAACAAGAGUGGGGAAUAUUCUGGAAUAUGAUCAGCUCUGCGUGUGUGUGCGCGCGCGCGCAUGUGUUUAAUGCUUUCUCAGCUUGCACUGGAGGGCUGUAUGAAGACAGACAGGCCUGUAUCCUCGUCUCAGCAUUGCCAUGUAUUAAUCUUGUGACUUUAGGAAAUUUAUUUAGCUUUUCCAAGCUUUGUUUUCUCAUCUACAGAAUGGCUAUAAUAAUAUUUACCUCAUAAUGUUGCUGUGAGAAUUAAGUAAGACAGUGCCUAUGAAAAUACCCAGCGCGUCACAUGGCACAUAAUAGGUGCUUGAUAGAUGGUAGUUAUCAUGAGACUGCGACCUAUUUGAAGUCAGUCUUGUGUGCUAUCCAGGUGAUAGUUGCUCUGCAGCAUUGCAUAAAUAUCUGAGCGCCUACUGUGUGUAGUCGCUUUCACCUGUGCUGUGGUAAUUCUUCCAGAAACCUGUAUAAUUGUGUCAUUGUUGCUAUUUUCUAGAUAGGAGACGAACAUGCAGAAAGGCUCAGGAGAUUGUUGAAGUUCCAGGCAAUUAGUGGUAUUCUGGGGCUCAAAUUCAAAUUUGAAGUCAAGCAUGCUUUCCGGAGAGACUUCCUAAAACAAGACAGAAUGAAACAAAAACGGAACAACCACACAAAACUAAACCAAUAGGGGUGAGGAUAUGUUAGCGUAUCACAGUACGCGUUCAGUGGAAAAGUCAGUCUGCAAAAGCAGGGGAAGGCAGGCGGCCUCUGGGGCUCUGAUUCAAUCUAGAAGCCUCAGAGGUGCGAGUGUUCAAAUGGGAGAUUUACUAUGAUCUGGGGGUAUGGAGCCGGAGGCUGCUUCCAAUUGAAAUUAUAAUUUCAUCUUUCCAAUCCACAGAAAGUGCAUUAGCUAUAAUUUAUGUUACCUUGAGCCACGAUCAUCCACACCUUUGGUGUUUUGCAGCCUCCCACUGACUUUCAGAAAAGGAAAUUUAAAGGCAUCUACAUAGCAUGGGCUGCACCUUUACUGACACAUGGCCAGCAACUACAAACUUUUCUAAGAAAAGCAACUUUCAUAUAAAAGGCUUGAUUCCAUACCCAGUAGCUUCAUGGAGGCUAAGUAAAAGAGUGUUUUUUUUUUUUUAAUGAAGUGAAAAGUAAGAUAUUGUGGUUUCUUCAGUGUGAAUGGAAUUGAUUCAAAAGACAUCCUUUUAUUUCACAAGCUCCUUUGAAAUGAAAUCAAAGGGGACGAAGGGGCAAAGGAAAAACAACCUAUCCAUCUCCCCAGAGAAGGAAGGUUUUCCUAUUAGAGUGUGAAUCCAGGGGCAAGGACAACAUGCUAUUUCUCUUACUGUCUAGCUUCUCACCAGGCAUUUCUUUUUCAUAAAGUCAGCUUAAUCGGAAAUUAAAAUCCCCGAUACCUUCCCCAUGAAGGUUGGAGGUGGAUGUUCAGAUCCUUGGAGUUGUCCUGGGAUGUGGCUGCCAGGACUGAAUCUCUGAUGGAUGCAGUGACUUUGAGGAAGAGGAGGCUGGGCUGCCUGGGGACAGUGCCCGCCAGCAUGACUCAUGAGGAAGGACAGGGUCAAAUCAAAGGUGACUGGCCUGAAAGACCUUUGGGAUGGAAAUCACAGUCUUUUGUUUGAAGGCGUCUUGUUGCUGGGUUACACAGGACUUCUAGAUGUUGCCUGUGUCUUUUCUUUUCUUUUUUUUUAGUGUUUAUUUACUUUUGAGAGAGACAGAGACAGAAUGCGAGUGGGUUAGGGACAGAGAGGGAGGGAGACACAGAAUCCGAAGCAGGCUCCAGGCUCCGAGCUGUCAGCACAGAGCCCGAUGCGGGGCUCAAAUCCAUGAGUUGCGAGAUCAUGACCUGAGCCGAAGUCGGAUGCUCAACUGACUGAGCCACCCAGGCGCCCCUGCCUGUCUUUCCUCCCCAACGAAAACCCCAAAUGACCUUGCAGUAGGCUUUCCAUUUUGCUCCACGUGGAAUGUUCAAGAGGGCUUGCUUUUUGCUUCUGGUGACUUUGGAGGGAAGCAGAUAGCUUAAUUUCUCUAAAGUCUGUAUGUCUGUUUGCUUGAUGCCGUUUA